rnacentral:rRNA from 1 species
UGCCAGCCGCCGCGGUAAUACGAAGGGACCUAGCGUAGUUCGGAAUUACUGGGUUUAAAGGGUACGUAGGCGGAAAUUUAAGUCAGUAGUGAAAGCCCACCGCUCAACGAUGGAACUGCUAUUGAUACUGAAUUUCUUGAAUAUAGUUGAAGUAGGCGGAAUACGGCAUGUAGCGGUGAAAUGCAUAGAUAUGCCGUGGAACACCAAUCGCGAAGGCAGCUUACUAAGCUAUUAUUGACGCUAAGGUACGAAAGCGUGGGUAGCGAACAGGAUUAGAUA